UCCAGACUCCUACGGGAGGCAGCAGUGGGGAAUAUUGCACAAUGGGGGAAACCCUGAUGCAGCGACGCCGCGUGAGUGAAGAAGUAUUUCGGUAUGUAAAGCUCUAUCAGCAGGGAAGAAAUAGCGACCUUUGGGUCGCCAGACGGUACCUGACUAAGAAGCCCCGGCUAACUACGUGCCAGCAGCCGCGGUAAUACGUAGGGGGCAAGCGUUAUCCGGAUUUACUGGGUGUAAAGGGAGCGCAGGCGGCGCGGUAAGUCUGAUGUGAAAGCCCGGGGCUCAACCCCGGGACUGCAUUGGAAACUGUCGUGCUGGAGUGUCGGAGGGGCAAGUGGAAUUCCUAGUGUAGCGGUGAAAUGCGUAGAUAUUAGGAGGAACACCAGUGGCGAAGGCGGCUUGCUGGACGACAACUGACGCUGAGGCUCGAAAGCGUGGGGAGCAAACAGGAUUAGAUACCCGUGUAA
rnacentral:rRNA from 1 species